ACGCUGGCGGCGUGCUUAACACAUGCAAGUCGAACGAUGAAAUUCUGACGGAGGCUUCGGCCAACGUGAGGGAUGGAUUAGUGGCGAACGGGUGAGUAACGCGUGAGAAACCUACCUCUCAGUGGGGGACAACAGUUGGAAACGACUGCUAAUACCGCAUAACACUUUAGUACCGCAUGGUACAGAAGUCAAAGCUUUAUGUGCUGAGAGAUGGUCUCGCGUCUGAUUAGCUAGAUGGCGGGGUAACGGCCCACCAUGGCGACGAUCAGUAGCCGGUCUGAGAGGAUGAACGGCCACAUUGGGACUGAGACACGGCCCAGACUCCUACGGGAGGCAGCAGUGGGGAAUAUUGCACAAUGGGGGAAACCCUGAUGCAGCAACGCCGCGUGAGGGAAGACGGUUUUCGGAUUGUAAACCUCUGUCCUCUGUGAAGAAGAAAGUGACGGUAGCAGAGGAGGAAGCCACGGCUAACUACGUG
rnacentral:rRNA from 1 species